GAAGACGAGAAAGCUUCCGCAAUGCAAAACAGCUGGGCGCGAAAGAGAGGGGCGCUUGUGCAAGGCGAAAUGCAAAACUGAUAAGAGAAGUCCGCUUAAGUUGCUCUAAUUAUCGGCAGCAACAACAACGCCAACAGUGGCAACGAUAACAACUUCUCAACCGUGCUGAUGAGAGAAGUGCGAGAGAGAGGGGGCGCAGAGGGCGAGUGAGAGGACCAGGCAGCAACAACAUUUACAGCUUUAGCGGCCAAAAGCACAGUGGGGCAAAAGUGGCCAAUAAGGGGCAGUCUUUAAAUUAAUUAAUUUCAUCAUCAAUCUUAUUUCGCCGUACUUCUCCCAUCCUCGAUCCAACUUGCAACAAGUGAACUGCCUUGGCCACACUGUGCCUUAUGCGCCCGUUUAAAAAUAGGUUUUCGCCCAGAUGUCUGUGAGUGUGCUCGUUGGCUUCCAGCAUCUCAUGGUCGCCGCCGUUUGGC